rnacentral:lncRNA from 1 species
CUUAUGAUCGCCUGCGGUUGUAAGGGCAACGAGCAACAGCCUUACUUACUUGUCCAGCGACCUCAUUUAGCUCAGGAGCGGGAGGUGUCAGUUGGCUCACAACAGCCCUUCAGGGGGUCUUUGUGUGUGUAGCCUUCUGGUUGGCCACAUACCAGGCAGGGAAAGAGGCCAGGUCAGGGUCAACAUGCUUCUAUGUAACAUGGGGGCGGGGGGUGGGUGGGUGAGAAAGGUCAGUUACCUGUUCAAAAGAAUGCAGUCCGCUUUCUUUCCCCAGCAUCACCAUGUCAUCCAGAAUGGCUUUCUUCAAUUCCUGAAUUGAACCAUGUCCAGUAGUUGAGUUCCUCUGCAUCGACCAGCUUGAUGUGGUUGCAGGGCAGAGGUGCCCCUACAUGCCCUAGGACACCAGAACAAGAGUGAAAGGCUUGGGCCUCUGGCAUCUUCCUCUGUACCCGGCUGCCCAGCACACGUCCCACCACCCCCAAGGAAGGCCCGGGAUGAUGAUACCUGGCACCCCAGAGCUGCUCGUAGGAAUCCCAGAACCGUUGGUGACGCGGGGGCUGCUCCAGUGACAAUCAUCCUCACAUGCCCACCAAGACUGGCCUGUGGGAAGAAAGAAGCUGCCAAUGAUGGUGACACACGAGAUGGUCUUCAUUUAUGGUCUGCUUUCAACAGCUGGACCCUGGGUGCUAGAAGAGAGCCACGUGCUGAGGAAGUCGCUUCUCUUUUGUAAUAAAUGUGGCUAGUUGUCAACAUAA